AGCGGAAGGACCUUUUUUCACUCAUGUGGGGUAUAAGGUUUUUCGUGAUAUAUUUGAUGUGUCUCGUCUUCAGAGAUGUCCGAGAGCAGUUUAGGAAAGAAGGACGGGAAAAGCGCUGCGUCAAAAAUGACAAGAAGUGACAGCAAAGACAAUGGGUUUAUUUUACCGUAACAAGUCCGACUCAAACCACAGCCAGGACUUUAUCACACUGAACCAAUCAGGGGGCGACAUGUCAGUUUCACAGAUUCAUGAGUCAUGAGUUUUGUUUUUAAAUCUGUCGACUAGAAUUGCGUUCUGAUGUAAAUGAGACGUUUAGUUUGUUUCAUAAUAGAAAGAGUGCUGUGGUGUUUCUGACGAAUGACGUUCUGUUUGUUUUUACUACUUUUCACUUGAAACAGCUUCCCUGUGAGCUGAAAGAUUCAUUUAUCAAACAUUCCUCAAUAGUCUGCUGUAUUUGAUUGUAUUCAUAUAUCAUUUGUUUCAUGUAUGUUCUUAAUUGUUGGUCCUUUUUGUUGCACUGUUGAAUGGGAAAAUAAAAUAAAGCAUUUCCAACACAA